CGCGCGAAAUAAAGUCGUGAUUCACUAUCAAGUCGUUCCAUUAAAGCCCGAAAGAGAUCUUCGAAAUUAUUCCCAAAGAGAAAACCCAUACACAGCAUAUUUUAUCGGAGAGGCAUCCUGGGAUGAACAUAAUUAGCAAAAUGACGUUACAAUAACGUAUACUUUAAAGUUGGGGGCUCGAGGGAAAGCGAGCCGACCCUGCACGCGACGCGAUGCAAAACACUAUAUCGAGUUUCUGGCGAUAACGUGUAUAUUUACCCUCUGGCAAAUUAUACGGGGGAAAAAAGAUGCAUGAGAGAGAAAGUAUUGUGCGUAAUAUAUGAGUGAACGCUACGUGUAUUGUGUCUUUUGUGUAACAAAUAAACGAUCGAUAUCUGAUGAUUUAGAGCACUCGAAUAAACUUAACCUGGAAAAUAAAAAUGAAAUUCGUAAGAUUUU